rnacentral:lncRNA from 1 species
AAAAUUCCAAAAAUAGUAGCAAAAUGAUUAUCAUUAUUAUGUUCAAAUCAGGCCACACACUUUUUGGCCGUGCUUGCAGUUGCAGCCGUUGCUCUUGCUGGUAGAUAUGGAAUCCAAGCUUGACUGCUUGACAACCAUUCAAGGCGUGACCUCCUAAACCUAAGCUUCUCAAGUUCUAUGAGGGUGGUUUGCAACCCAAGAUAACCAGAAGACAAGCAACUCUUAAAGUUAUUCUUUCUGGUUAAUUUUGUUACACACUUGAUACAAUAAUUUUAGGGAUUUAAUUAGUUUUUGGGUCGAUUAGAGCUGGAAAUUGCUUUUACUCAGCAACUAAGUAUAAAUUGAUUGAAAAAUCAUUUAUGCGUCAGAUUAUAGAUUAUUAUGUAACACAAUUUGAUUAUUGGAAUUAGAAGCAAUUUGUAUUUUCUUGUUUGCUUAAGUUAGACAUUGAUGAAAGAUAUGAAAGAAUUAAAGAUUUAAACUUGAGAACUUGGAAAGAUUGUGCUACUUGUUGUAGGAUAUAUCUGUUUUGCGCCUGAUUUAAAUUCUUU